rnacentral:snoRNA from 1 species
ACCUCCUACAAAGGCGUGCCUUUACUUCCCAUGUAGAGGCACGUAAGAAAAGGAGGCAGAUUACGUGGAAUAAGACAUAAAAAGAGCACUGCUGGUUUCUGGACCCUGUGCUACGCCCUUCAGUCCUACAUGA